GACGAACGCUGGCGGCGUGCUUAACACAUGCGAGUCGAACGGAAAGGCCCUGCUUUUGUGGGGUGCUCGAGUGGCGAACGGGUGAGUAACACGUGAGUAACCUGCCCUUGACUUUGGGAUAACUUCAGGAAACUGGGGCUAAUACCGGAUAGGAGCUCCUGCUGCAUGGGGGGGGUUGGAAAGUUUCGGCGGUUGGGGAUGGACUCGCGGCUUAUCAGCUUGUUGGUGGGGUAGGGGCUUACCAAGGCUUUGACGGGUAGCCGGCCUGAGAGGGUGACCGGCCACAUUGGGCCUGAGAUACGGACCAGACUCCUACGGGAGGCAGCAGUGGGGAAUAUUGCACAAUGGGCGGAAGCCUGAUGCAGCAACGCCGCGUGCGGGAUGACGGCCUUCGGGUUGUAAACCGCUUUCGCCUGUGACGAAGCGUGAGUGACGGUAAUGGGUAAAGAAGCACCGGCUAACUACGUG
rnacentral:rRNA from 1 species